rnacentral:rRNA from 1 species
AUUGAACGCUGGCGGCAUGCCUAACACAUGCAAGUCGAACGAGUGGCGGACGGGUGAGUAAUGUCUGGGACACUGCCUGAUGGAGGGGGUUAACUACUGGAAACGGUAGUUAAUACCGCAUACCAUCGGAUGUGCCCAGAUGGGAUUAGCUAGUAGGUGGGGUAAAGGCUCACCUAGGCGACGAUCCCCAGCUGGUCUGAGCGGAUGACCAGCCACACGGGAAAGGAGAAAAGGCCCAGAAUCCUACGGGGGGGAGCAGGGGGGAAUAUUGCACAAAGGGGGCAAGCCUGAUGGGGCCAUGCCGCGUGGAUGAAGAAGGCCUUCGGGUUGUAAAGUACUUUCAGCGGGGAGGCGUUACCCGAAGAAGAAGCACCGGCUAACUCCGUGCCAGCAGCCGCGGUAAUUC